rnacentral:lncRNA from 1 species
CUAAUCAUAUACUUUGUAAAAAAAAAAAAAAAAAAAAAAAAAAAAAAAAAAAAAUUAUUAUAGUUGAGGGGGAAGGCUCAUAUGUAAGCGGACCCAAUGAUGAAAAUACGAUAAUAUUUUUUAAAAAAUAUAAUUGUUAAUAAUUCAAUUUGUUUAAUUAUAUAUUUCUGAAUGUUCAGAAUAUUUUAUGUAUGUUUUUAUAACUCAUUGGGUAUGAACACCUGUACGAAUUUUUAUUUAUUAAUAUGGUAUAAUUAUAAACGUUUAUGUGUAUGCAUGUUAUAUAUGUAUGUAUAAACGCAUAUAACCUACAUUUAAAUUACUUUUGAUUUAUUUUGUCAUAUAAAUUUGAAUUUUUUUACCUCCUAUUUUUUUUUUUUUUUUUUUUUUUUUUUUUCACUUAUAAAUUUUUUAAAUAACGUUUGUUUCCCAAUUAGAGAAUACAAUAAUUACAUACGAAAUUGUAUGUGUACAUAUGUAUUUAUACUUUUUUUUUAUAUCGAUAUAUGCAUAUGUAGAUAAAUAUGCACACAUAUGUAUGUUCUGUUAAUUAUAAAUUAAUGUAAAACUUGACUUUUUUUUUUUGUUGUUAACAAUUGUUAUAGUAAAUUUUUUUUUUUUUUUUUUUUUUUUUUCAAAAUGGUGUUUGUUUUUUGAUUUGAAUUUGUGUUCAUAUAUAUGUAUACCUAUAUACAUGUAUAUUUUAUUUUUAUUUUAUAUUAGAAAUAUCUAAAACCUUUUAUAAAACAUUUGUAGUUUUAUUAAUUCGAGAUGCUUAUAUAAAAAAAAAUUAUUAAACCCGAACAUGAAUAAAAAUAGAAGAUUAAAUGUUUACUUGUUUUCAAACAGUUCAAGAUAUUUUAACACAUCAUUGAUUAAAUCUAAAAUUGAUACGUUGGAAAAUUAUGCAAAAAAAAAUCAGUUACAUAAAUUAAGAAGAGAUAAAUUGUUUGAAGUUUUUAAAUUAUCUAAAACGGAAGAAGAUUAUAAAUUGUCGUUGCAUUUAUUAAAUGUAUAUUACAAUUUUGGAAGAAAUUUAAAUACCCAGCAAGAUGUUGAUUUAUUUUUUACAUCCAUUUUGAGGACAAAUCAACUAAAUGAAGCAAAAGAUUUUUUGAAGUAUUUUAACGGGUGGUUAUUAUGUCCUCCUUCAAACAAAUUGAUUUUACUAUGUAUGGAGGAAUUUUUUCGAAAAAAAAAUUUUAUGAAGUCAGGGAAAUUUUUUCUUUUAUUAGACAGAAUAAGUUAUAAUUUAUUAAAAACAAAAAUUUAUCCAAAUGUGCUUUUUAAAUAUAUAUUUAUGUGA